UACGUAGGGUGCAAGCGUUACUCGGAAUUACUGGGCGUAAAGCGUGCGCAGGCGGCUUUGCAAGACAGAUGUGAAAUCCCCGGGCUCAACCUGGGAACUGCAUUUGUGACUGCAUGGCUGGAGUGCGGCAGAGGGGGAUGGAAUUCCGCGUGUAGCAGUGAAAUGCGUAGAUAUGCGGAGGAACACCGAUGGCGAAGGCAAUCCCCUGGGCCUGCACUGACGCUCAUGCACGAAAGCGUGGGGAGCAAACAGG
rnacentral:rRNA from 1 species